rnacentral:lncRNA from 1 species
UGGGCUUCACGGGCGCAUCCUCGAUUCUUUAAAGGCUAGCUAUGCUGACGUGAAGUUUCGGGUCAAGUUAGGAAAUAAGUUGGGACCUGAAUUCAAGGUGGGGCGUGGUGUUAAGCAAGGGUGUCCCCUUAGCGUAACCCUUUUUGGGCUCUUCAUAGAAGUAUUCGCUCAUUAUAUUGAUGCCCAUGAUGCUAAUUGCCGUGUAUGCCUCCCCAGCCGAUGGAGCACCCUUCGUUAGCAGAGUGUUAGCCUGGCG